rnacentral:rRNA from 1 species
GACGAACGCUGGCGGCGUGCUUAACACAUGCAAGUCGAACGGAAAGGCCCUGCUUUUGUGGGGUGCUCGAGUGGCGAACGGGUGAGUAACACGUGAGUAACCUGCCCUUGACUUUGGGAUAACUUCAGGAAACUGGGGCUAAUACCGGAUAGGAGCUCCUGCUGCAUGGUGGGGGUUGGAAAGUUUCGGCGGUUGGGGAUGGACUCGCGGCUUAUCAGCUUGUUGGUGGGGUAGUGGCUUACCAAGGCUUUGACGGGUAGCCGGCCUGAGAGGGUGACCGGCCACAUUGGGACUGAGAUACGGCCCAGACUCCUACGGGAGGCAGCAGUGGGGAAUAUUGCACAAUGGGCGGAAGCCUGAUGCAGCAACGCCGCGUGCGGGAUGACGGCCUUCGGGUUGUAAACCGCUUUCGCCUGUGACGAAGCGUGAGUGACGGUAAUGGGUAAAGAAGCACCGGCUAACUACGUGCCAGCAGCCGCGGUGAUACGUAGGGUGCGAGCGUUGUCCGGAUUUAUUGGGCGUAAAGGGCUCGUAGGUGGUUGAUCGCGUCGGAGGUGUAAUCUUGGGGCUUAACCCUGAGCGUGCUUUCGAUACGGGUUGACUUGAGGAAGGUAGGGGAGAAUGGAAUUCCUGGUGGAGCGGUGGAAUGCGCAGAUAUCAGGAGGAACACCAGUGGCGAAGGCGGUUCUCUGGGCCUUUCCUGACGCUGAGGAGCGAAAGCGUGGGGAGCGAACAGGCUUAGAUACCCUGGUAGUCCACGCUGUAAACGGUGGGUACUAGGUGUGGGGUCCAUUCCACGGGUUCCGUGCCGUAGCUAACGCUUUAAGUACCCCGCCUGGGGAGUACGGCCGCAAGGCUAAAACUCAAAGGAAUUGACGGGGCCCCGCACAAGCGGCGGAGCAUGCGGAUUAAUUCGAUGCAACGCGUAGAACCUUACCUGGGUUUGACAUGGAUCGGGAGUGCUCAGAGAUGGGUGUGCCUCUUUUGGGGUCGGUUCACAGGUGGUGCAUGGCUGUCGUCAGCUCGUGUCGUGAGAUGUUGGGUUAAGUCCCGCAACGGGCGCAACCCUUGUUCACUGUUGCCAGCACGUUAUGGUGGGGACUCAGUGGAGACCGCCGGGGUCAACUCGGAGAAAGGUGGGGAUGACGUCAAGUCAUCAUGCCCCUUAUGUCCAGGGCUUCACGCAUGCUACAGUGGCUGGUACAGAGAGUGGCGAGCCUGUGAGGGUGAGCGAAUCUCGGAAAGCCGGUCUCAGUUCGGAUUGGGGUCUGCAACUCGACCUCAUGAAGUCGGAGUCGCUAGUAAUCGCAGAUCAGCAACGCUGCGGUGAAUACGUUCCCGGG